GGGGCGUUAGCUCAAUUGGUUAGAGCAGGGAACUCAUAAUUCCUUGGUCGUCGGUUCAAGUCCGACACGCCCUACAA
rnacentral:tRNA from 1 species